rnacentral:rRNA from 1 species
CCUACGGGGAGCAGCAGUGAGGAAUAUUGGUCAAUGUCCGGAAGGCUGAACCAGCCAUGCCGCGUGAAGGUCAGUGCCCUAUGGGCGUUAAACUUCUUUUGUGCGGGAGCAAUAAUGGUCACGUGUGGCCAGACGAGAGUACCGUACGAAUAAGCAUCGGCUAAAUCCGUGCCAGCAGCCGCGGUAAUACGGGGGAUGCAAGCGUUAUCCGGAUUUAUUGGGUUUAAAGGGUGCGUAGGCUGUGAGGUAAGUCAGCGGGGAAAUGCCCCCGCUCAACGGGGUGAAGUGCCAUUGAUACUGGCGUGCUGGAGUGCGGAUGCCGUGGGAGGAAUGUGUGGUGUAGCGGUGAAAUGCAGAGAUAUCACACAGAACACCGAUUGCGAAGGCAUCUCACGAAUCCGCGAUUGACGCUGAUGCACGAAAGCGUGGGUAUCAAACAGGAGUAGAUACCCCUGUAGUC